GCCUCCAUAGCUCAGUUGGUUAGAGCAGGCCGCUCUUAACGGUCGGGUCCUCGGUUCGAAUCCGAGUGGGGGUAC
rnacentral:tRNA from 1 species